rnacentral:lncRNA from 1 species
GCGGCGGGAGCCGAAACGGAGGGAGAAGAUUGGGCCGUAUUUGUCGGAGUAGCGUUGGAGGAGACGGUGGAUCGGUGGUUUCAUGAGGUGGAGAUGGCCGACGAAGGGACGUGACGGUGGUCCAGGCGGGAGGUUAAAACGCUCCGUUUUGGAGAAGAGGAACUUAUGAGCCAAGAGGAGGAGGAAAGGGAGAAGGAUGAAGUAGAACAUUUUUGUUCUCUUUCUUUGACUAGUUUUCAGAGUGUUUUUGUGUUUCUCUAUGUGGUGGAUUAUAGCUUAUGGUUUGUUUGGUUUAUAUAGAGAGAAAUAAAAUAAAAUUAAGUCAUCACGAUUAUCGGCAGUAUAUUAACACAGGUUUCGAAAAUAAAAAAACUUAAAAUAAUGAAAAGUUAAGAGAGAAGAAAGAGAAAGAUUCUAAACUAAAGCCAUGAUUAACGCUAAAAAUCCACAUGGAUUUUUUAUUUUAUUAUUUUUUUUUGCCUGAGUAAAGACCAAUCAAUCGCGGACCGCCACGUGUCAGUGGGAUCCACAAACAGUUCAAAAACCCACCCAACAGCGAUCCUUAUUUUGGUUUUCCUGUAACCGAUUUUUCCCUUUUUGUGGGCUCCCCCACCUAAAAACCCACUAAAAAUCUAUUUCCCUCUCCCGAUAAUCCUACUCUAACAACUUUUGGAUACAGUUUUUUGACUCAUAUACACAUGUGUUAGUACUUUAUUGGUCAUAAUUUUUACAGAAAAAUAAAAAAUAAAUAAAUUAUUAAAAUAAUAAUAUUUUUUUUUCUUUUUGCAACUUCUAUAGGUUGUAACCAAUGGAGAUGCUCUAAGUGCAGUGAAUAUUCUGAGUUUCACUAAAUGCGCUCUAUGGAGUCAAGUCUUAGACCAUGAGCAAUUUAUGAUGUUGAAACUCACUUUCAACAGUUGAAUAGCAUGCAGGGAAAGUGUUAAAUUUUUAAGUUAAUCUACGUGUAUUCAACAGGCGUCAGAAAGUUUCAGCUGUUAACAUGAGUGGCUGAAAGUGUUGGACGCGUGAGUGCACACGCCACGCGCGCGGGCUGACAAGUGUCUUUUUAAAAUAAAAAAAAAUUAAAUGAUGUCUUCUGAUUGACUGUGCAGAUUUUCUUUUAUUUUAUCUUCAUCUAAUAAUUCAAACUCAUUUAUUUUAUAAUAAAACUAUUUUUACAAAAAUAAAAAUUAUAUCAAAACUCAAGAUUUUUUUAAUCUAUAAAUAGAGACUACUCUCAUUUUGUUUGGAUACAAAAAAAAACAUCAUCUUUCACUAUAAUCAACUAUUCUAAUGUUUUAAAAAAUAUUUUUGUUGAAUGGAUCUUAAUAAUAAUUGUUUGUAUCGUAUGUAUUUAAAGUUUACUAAUUUUAGUUUUUUUAAUAAUAAUAAGUUUCGUAUUUUUGAAAAUAAAAUUUGGUAAAUAUCUUACUUAAAAAUAUAUGUUCUUAAAUUUAAUUGUUUUUAUAUAUACAGAUUUUGGUAUUAUUUAAAAAUUAAGCUAAGUAUAAUAAUUAAAAAUAAAUAUUAUUAAAAAUUAUGUUAUUUUAGUUUUUAAGUUUAUUGUAAAAAACAAAAAUAUGAAAUAAGAGUUGUGGGGUAGAGUAUUGAAUUUUUUUAAAUAAACCAUUGUAGAGGUGUAGAUUGAAGUGAGUGUUGAAUAAAUGAACUGAAAGAAAGAGAACAUGAUGUGGAAUGUUAAAAAGAAAAAAAUAGGAUGGUUAAUACAGUUAACAGAUGUUAGUUGGAAGAUGUAGGUGUAAGCUUGAGUGGGUUUGAUGGUUUUGAAUGCUCAGACUAUGCUAUGUGUGGAAUGUUUGUAGUAUUGUCAAAGAACUGUGUUGUGCCUGCAAAUAUAUACUUGGAAUUGUAUGGUGUCUGCGCUAAACCAUGUUGGUAGAUUAUUGUAAAGUAGUUUUGUUGCAAUUGUCCUUUUGCAAAAUCCCAAUAACAUAUACCGCAUGUACUUGUUAGUAUAUAUUUGUAUUGUGAUGUAUAUACUUUUUUUUUGUAACAAUUGUGAUGUAUAUACUAUUAUACGCAAUUCAAUAGCAAACUUUACUAUUAUACACAAUUGAAUAGGAAACUUACAUGGUUUGACGAUCUUGACAAUUGCCCUUUGCUGAUAUAGGAUGGAGGAGUUAGGGUUGCCCGAGCGUUUGUAUCAGACAGAGUUCAAACAUACUGAACGGAAAAGAACCAACAAUUACUUCAAUUUGCGUUGGAUAAAGGCAUUAAAGUAGCUCUUUCAGAUGCUCAGCAGGAGCAAUUGGAUGAGUCACAGUUGGCUGAGUCGCAGUUCAAAAAAAUAAUACUAAUGGGAACCCUACAUUUUCUGUCAUAAUAAUACUUAUUAUUGUUAUAUGUUUUAAUCUUUGUCUUCUCGUUAAUGUAUCUUGAAUACUACUUGUGUUUAUCGUGUACACAUUUCUCGCAACAUCAAUUUUGGGACGAAACUAAACUAGACUCCUAUUAAGGUUGUUAUGUAUAAAGUUGCGCAGCUGUAACACUAACUUGCAACCCUAAUUGGUUACAUCAUUGUGAAAUACACUAAAAUGAUUGAUCUUAUGUUUGUGUCUAGGUUACCAUACUAUACUAUGUUACCUAUAGUACAACAUCUUUCACUUCCUUUCACGACGCCAUGCAUACUAUUUCGUUCUCAUGUAUAGUAAAAAUGGAUAAAAAUAUCUCUUUUACGUACUAGUGCAUAACUUCCCGAAAGGUAUAAACAAAGUGCUAGUAUACUUUAGUUUUUAACAUUAUGCAUAUAUUGUUGUCCUUCCAUUGCGCUUUAAAAUUCUCUUUUAACCAUAUAUGUUUUCUAUCACAUGUCUUACAUCUACUAUGCAGAGCCACCAAAAGGCUUGCUAUUAUUUUUCUAACAGAUAGACUCCUAUUAAGGUUGUUAUGUUAAAAGUUGCGCAGCUGUAACACUAACUUGCAACCCUAAUUGGUUACAUCAUUGUGAAAUACACUAAAAUGAUUGAUUUUAUGUUUGUGUCUAGGUUACCAUACUAUACUAUGUUACCUAUAGUACAACAUCUUUCACUUCCUUUCACGACGCCAUGCAUACUAUUUCGUUCUCAUGUAUAGUAAAAAUGGAUAAAAAUAUCUCUUUUACGUACUAGUGCAUAACUUCCCGAAAGGUAUAAACAAAGUGCUAGUAUACUUUAGUUUUUAACAUUAUGCAUAUAUUGUUGUCCUCCCAUUGCGCUUUAAAAUUCUCUUUUAACCAUAUAUGUUUUCUAUCACAUGUCCUACAUGUACUAUGCAGAGCCACCAAAAGGCUUGCUAUUAUUUUUCUAACAGGGGCUUUUUAUGCAGUGAUGCUGUGUCAUACAUAUUCAGUUAUAUUAUGUGUUCCUUCUUUCAUCAAACUAAACAAUCGUGUUUUCUAUUCUUUUAUCUUUAAAAUUACAUAUCUUCCCCUAGGUUUUCUAUUUGCUAUGGUUCAAUAACUCUCAUUACAGACACUGAAUUCCUUUGAACAUGGAGGUCUAUGGUUUUUAACGAUCUGUCCAUACUACACUGAAUAUUGUAUUGUCUCCUUCCCGUGUAUUCCACCAACAUAAAUGCUGACAUAUAUGUUGUGGUGCCUCCCACGGCCACCAUAUUUCUAGUUUCGUUGCACAUGUAACUUAUGUUUUUUAUGCUUCCUUUUGAACCCAACCUUAUGCAUUUCUUUUUGUACCAUAUUUUCCUUUUAACUUCACCAAUUAUACCAUUUUUGAACUCAACCUUAUGCAUUUCCUUUUGUACCAUAUUUUCCUUUUAACUUCACCAAUUUUACCAUAUUUUCCUUUUGAAAUCAGUGUAGAACUUGUACCAAACUGUAAGCUACUAUGCUAUACAACAUAUAGUAUAAUCUGAAACAACAACCAUUUUUUUUCUUCCAGAGCCAUUUCAUGCGCACGCGUUAGGAGGGAGAAAACGAGAAAAUUAGGUUUUAAUUGUCACAUCUGUCCUAGGUUACUAUAGCAUGAAUAUAAUCUUAAUUUUUUUUGUCAUUUAUGAAUAUUCAGCAAAAUCACCCUAUACGUAAUAUAAUAACUGAAUCUGGCAUGUCUCUAUGCUGUCAAGGUCAGAGUUAUACAAGUCAGCAGCGUCAAUGAGUGGAAUGAAAAAUAUUUUAAGUUCUUCGAAUGCAUGUCGUGCACAUUGGGCUAGUGCACAUUCAGCACAUGUAUAUUCUGAGAAACUGGAAAGAAAUUAUGAUCUAUUUUUUUUAUUCUCCUUUGUAAGUUCUAUUUAGAACUGUUAAGCUGAGCUUAAUUAACACUUUUUAACCUUUCACAUGGGAAAUAUCGAACCCAUGCAAGCUGGAAACGCUGAUUAACUUUGGUCAAUGUUGCUAUUAAUGUGGUAGUUAUUCACUUAUUUGUUAUAAUGCCGUUGCUGAUUAACUUUGGACAAUGUUGCUAUUAACAUGGAGAUUAAUUUACGACUGUUUUAUUCAGUGAAACUUUUUUUUAUAUGUCAAGAUGAUCCACUAAACCAUUUUCAACUCUUUGCAGGAAAAUGAAAUCAAGCUUUGGUGAAGAAGACUGCGUACGUUAACUUUUGAUCAAGUGUAAGUCAUUAUAAACAUAUAUUCGAUAGACUAAAUGGAAAAAUAGUUUAUAAUAGUUCUGUUUAAUAAUACGCAACGCAAGUGACUAGUUGAAGUGUAGUUCUUUGUUUGUUUUGUCACGAGUUAUAACGUUCCAAACUAACUAAAAGACAAAGGAGGUCAUAAAUCAGUGCAUCAAACGAGGGAAUUUACGAAUAUUUUAUCAAAAGUUGAUAUUAAAUCCCAGCAAGCUGCAAUCUGCAAGCUGCGAGGUUGUUAAAAAAUUGAUAAACAAAGUACGAUUUUGAUUCUAUCAAAUCAGAAGUCGCGAAAACGAUACUAUACAACUCGUACAUCAGUAUAUUUUAUCAGAAAAUCGAUGAUCCCACUUUCGAGGUGUUGAGAGAGGUAUAAAAAUAAAAAGUUAUACAACUCAUACAUCAAUAGUUAAUAUUAUUGAUUAUAUGAUAAGAUGAGUUUUCACCACAUCCUGUAGUAUUAGUCUGGUGACUCUGGUCCAAUUGCUAAUAAAAUUAAGUUAUAGUUUACACCACAUCUAGUAGUGUCUUAUCAUUCGAAUUUGAUUCCCCAUCCCUCUCGGUGGGUUAUUCUUUUCAAUCUUAAAUCGGUAAGUUCACAUCGCAUAAGUACAAAACCUGUGGGGGAUCUUCCGAAUGCAUUGAUAUGAAACAUGUGGUGGAACAUAAAACAUCAAAUCAAGUAUGGUUGUUAUAACAUCAACCAUUUCUUGGUUAUCCUUUUCAACCUUGAAUCGUGUGACUUCAACUAAUCUUUGGGCUCAUCCUUGAAUAGAGACAAAAGAAGUUGUGGAACUCAAAAAGACAACGUGUGUUUUAGAACAUUAUUUAACCCCAUUGGACCUUUAAGCCAUGACUUCACGGAACCUUUGUGCCCAUCCUUGACGGUGAUGUUACAAAGAUGCGACUGAUGAUAACAUCUUUUUUCGCCAAGGACUGAUGAUAACAUUACCACAUAGUUUCGUCAUUUUUUGCAAACAUUAUAAUGAUUGAAAAUAAUAAAGUACGUAUAACAAGUCUGCUUUUAUCCUCCACAUUAAGACACUUCUCCAACUAAACUAGAAGCUUAGCCAUAAUGGGUCUAGGCCUACACAUGGCCCGUAGAGGAUCAAGCUUGUGCAUACCCAACCCAGUACUCUCCGACAUAUCAAUCUCUUCACCUUUCACAUUCUCCCAAUCAAAACACUGAAUCAACGAUCCUAGCGCCAACGUCACUAUCCUCCUCCCUAGUCCAGCGCCGGGACAUACUCUUCGGCCGUUUCCAAACGGCAUCAGCUUAUAAGCGCAUAACUCGCUGCCGCAUCCUUUAAACCUAUCCGGGUUAAACCUCUCUGGAUCAUCCCAAAGCUCAGGAUCUCUAUGUAUAGCCCAAGCGUUAACAAUCACUAUCGUAUCACGCGGUAUGUCGUAACCACCAAUCGUCAUGUCCUCUGUCGGCGUGCGAGGGACUAACAGCGGUGCCACUGGAAACAAUCGGAAUGUCUCGGAGACCACGUCUUGGAGGUAAGGAAGUACGGCGAUGUCUGGCUCGUCGAUAAGACGGUCCUCUCCGAUCUUCUCAUCUAUCUCCGAUCUUGCCUUCUUCAACACGUCAGGGUGUCUAAGCAAAUUCGUCAUCGCCCACUCUAGGGUUAUGGCGGAGGUCUCGGUUCCCGCGAGCAUCAUGGCCUACGUAAUGUUAAAACCAUGUGAAUAUGAUUAUAAUUAAAAUUUAGUUGGAAUAUUUUGAUAAAAUUUUCUUUACACCAUAAGUUAUUUGUUUAGUAUGUAAGAGCCCCUCAAAUGGGACGGUUAUCUUCCGAAGUUUCUUAAUACACAUAUGUAUAUAUAAAUAUUAAUAUUUAAUUACAGGUUUCUAGCUAAGAAUACUUUCGGUUGAAUUUUCUGUAAUUUUUAGAAACACGCAAGUAAAUACUAAUAUUUAUAUAUAGAUACACAUAUAUGUAUAUUAAGAAACUUUGUAAGAGAACCGCCGUGAGAGUGCUCCAAUAUAUUUAUAAUCUACAUAAGUUUUCAGGAAAAGAAUCUAUCAUAAUAAUUGACAAUUUUGUUUUAAUCAUAUCAUUAAAUGGAGAUUAAUACCAUCAUUAGCCCUUUGAUAGUGACGUCACUGUAAUACUCAGGCUCUUGUUCUUGCAAAGACAGCAAGUGAGUGACCAUUGUGUUACCAUCUUUGUCUCUCCUACACUCAUCGAGCAAACGCUGCAGAAUCUCGUCCAUGGACUUUCCGAGAGCUUUGACUUCCUCCUCGAACUUGUUUCCGAACAGUUUCAGCACCGGCAAGUAAUCCGCCCUGUGAUUCGCGCCGCUGUACCCGGCGAUGUCGUAAACGAGCUUCUUGAACAGUUCCGCUUCUUCCUUGUUGUUCACGUCAUCGCCAUAAUAUCUCUUCCCUGUGACCAUUCUUACGAUGUUGUUGAACGUUAGGUCCGAGAAAAGCGGUUCUAGCUCGACGUGGGUGAAACGGCUCCCGGCAUCGGAGUGAGUUGUGUCACGUGAGAGGCGCAUGAGCAUGAUGCGGAUUUCGUCUUUACGGAUGUGGAGGAAGUUGGUGAGACGGUUGGAGGAGAGGAUCUCGAGGGCGCAUAUGCGGCGGAGGUUACGCCAGUGGUCGCCGUAAGGAGCGGUUCCGACGGUUGUGUAGUUGUAGGCGACGUAUUUGGCCGUCAGUUGGAAAGGCCGGCUCGAAAGAUUGAUGUCGUUUUGGCCGGUGAAGGCUUCUUGGACGAGUGAAGAGGAAGUUAUGACCACCACGCGUCGGGAGCCGAAACGGAGGGAGAAUAUUGGGCCAUAUUUGUUAGCAAAGCUCCGGAGGAGACGGUGGAUCGGCGGUUUCAUGAGGUGGAGAUGGCCGACGAUGGGACGUGACGGUGGUCCCGGUGGGAGAUUAAAACGGUGCGUUUCGGAGUAGAUGAAUUUGUAAGCCACGAGGACUAGGAGAGGGAUGAGGAUCAAGUAUAACAUUUUUGUUCUUCUUCCUUCGUAGUAUUU